GACGAACGCUGGCGGCGUGCUUAACACAUGCAAGUCGAACGAAGUGGCGAACGGGUGAGUAACGCGUAAUCAACCUGCCCUUCAGCGGGGGACAACAGUUGGAAACGACUGCUAAUACCGCAUACUGAAGGAGGGGAUUGCGUCGGAUUAGCUAGUGGGAGGGGUAACGGCCCACAAAGGCGAUGAUUAGUAGCCGGUCUGGAAGGGUGAACGGCCAAAUUGGGAAUGGGACACGGCCCAGGCUCCUACGGGGGGCAGCAGUGGGGAAUCUUCCGCAAUGGGCGAAAGUCUGACGGAGCAACGCCGCGUGAGUGAUGACGGCCUUCGGGUUGUAAAGCUCUGUUAAUCGGGGCGCGGUACCGGAAUAGAAAGCCACGGCUAACUACGUGCCAGCAGCCGCGGUAAUAC
rnacentral:rRNA from 1 species